GACGAACGCUGGCGGCGUGCUUAACACAUGCAAGUCGAGCGGUAAGGCCCUUUCGGGGGUACACGAGCGGCGAACGGGUGAGUAACACGUGGGUGACCUGCCCUCAGCUCUGGGAUAAGCCUGGGAAACUGGGUCUAAUACUGGAUAUGACUCCACGGUGCAUGUCGUGGGGUGGAAAGCCUUGUGCGGCUGAGGAUGGGCCCGCGGCCUAUCAGCUUGUUGGUGGGGUGANGGCCUACCAAGGCGACGACGGGUAGCCGGCCUGAGAGGGCGACCGGCCACACUGGGACUGAGGCACGGCCCAGACUCCUACGGGAGGCAGCAGUGGGGAAUCUUGCGCAAUGGGCGAAAGCCUGACGCAGCGACGCCGCGUGAGGGAUGACGGCCUCGGUUGUAAC
rnacentral:rRNA from 1 species